UUUCCAUCGCCAGCUCGUCUGCUGACAGCAGUGGAUGGCUGCUGCUGUUGAAGCACGGCACCAUCCGCUCCUUGUAGAGCAAGAAGAACACCGCGAUGGGGACUGGCAGCUGUGGAGGAGGAGCAGAGAGGGGCAGGCAGGUGGAGAGGAGCAAACAGAGGCAAACAGCGGAGCCCUGCCAGGGCACACUUCAACCGACAAAGGAACAGACCCACACCGCAGGUACAGCCUACCCCGUGCCCCAGGACAGCUCGAGGACCGUCCCUUCCACACCACCAGCUCCUGCAGCUCCAUGUGCACCAGCUGGAGGUGGAGCAGCGAGGAUGAGCCCAGGUCACGGAGGGAACAUGGGAACAUCGAGCUGGGAGCCUGCACGGGGUGGAAGGCAAAAUGCCCAGGGAGAGCCCCACUGCCUGUAGCCACCUCUCCAGCCCCAGCUCUCACCUGCUGGGGACGUCACCCCCAGCCCCGUGCAGUUUUUAACUGUCAUUAUAAACUCAACUGCGUGAUGCAACAACUCGUUAAGCGUGAGUAUAACUCCAGGAUCCUGCCCUCCAGUUUCUAUUUCAGUCUCCCCCCCCUCCCACCAGGAGCAUGGGGUUGUUCCCUGCCAUCGUGUCCAAGCUACUUUUAAGCAACCUAAGCACAAUGGAGCGCCCUGCACUUCCCCUGGGAAACCACCUUCCGGACAAACACGUCCCUCUCGGAGGAACAUUUUCCUGAUUUCCAGCCCCUUGGAACGGGCAGGAUGAUGAAAUUUCCGUUCUGUGGGAAACUGAAUUUUAAAAUGUGUUUUUGUUCCAAAUCUAGAUAAAAAGCCAAAAUUUUCUCUUAGAAUGAAAAAUUUUGGCUGUGAGUCAUCCAAGCACUUCAUUUUGAUAAUGCUGAACCAUUUAAUUCUACCAAAGCAAAAACAUUUUGCUUCAAGAACAUUGAACCAACUAUUCCAUUGGCUUUACACUUUGUGUUCAUGCCAAAGCCAAAUUGAGACAUUUCAACUUUAAACAAAGCAAGAAAUCGAAAUGAAUCAUUUCAGCUGUCCUGUCAGAAUACACGCAGCCCUCAGAACUGGCACGGAAUUGGGGUUUUGACCAUUAAAAAAAAAAA